AAAGCGCGCGUAGGUGGUUUGUUAAGUUGGAUGUGAAAUCCCCGGGCUCAACCUGGGAACUGCAUUCAAAACUGACUGACUAGAGUGUGGUAGAGGGUGGUGGAAUUUCCUGUGUAGCGGUGAAAUGCGUAGAUAUAGGAAGGAACACCAGUGGCGAAGGCGACCACCUGGACCAACACUGACACUGAGGUGCGAAAGCGUGGGGAGCAAACAGGAUUAGAUACCCCGGU
rnacentral:rRNA from 1 species